rnacentral:rRNA from 1 species
UACGGGGGGGGCAAGCGUUGUUCGGAAUUACUGGGCGUAAAGGGCGCGUAGGCGGCCUACUAAGUCGGACGUGAAAUCCCUCGGCUCAACCGAGGAACUGCGUCCGAUACUGGCAGGCUGGAAUCCGGGAGAGGGAUGUGGAAUUCCAGGUGUAGCGGUGAAAUGCGUAGAUAUCUGGAGGAACACCGGUGGCGAAGGCGGCAUCCUGGACCGGUACUGACGCUGAGGUGCGAAAGCGUGGGGAGCAAACAGG